rnacentral:rRNA from 1 species
CUACGGGUGGCUCCAGUGGGGAAUAUUGCACAAUGGGCGCAAGCCUGAUGCAGCAACGCCGCGUGAGGGACGAAGGCCUUCGGGUUGUAAACCUCUUUUAGCAGGGAAGAAGCGAAAGUGACGGUACCUGCAGAAAAAGCACCGGCUAACUACGUGCCAGCAGCCGCGGUAAUACGUAGGGUGCAAGCGUUGUCCGGAAUUAUUGGGCGUAAAGAGCUCGUAGGCGGUUUGUCACGUCUGCUGUGAAAUUUCGAGGCUCAACCUCGAACUUGCAGUGGGUACGGGCAGGCUAGAGUGCGGUAGGGGAGAUGGGAAUUCCUGGUGUAGCGGUGGAAUGCGCAGAUAUCAGGAGGAACACCAAUGGCGAAGGCACAUCUCUGGGCCGUAACUGACGCUGAGGAGCGAAAGCGUGGGGAGCGAACAGGAUUAGAUACCCCUGUAGUC